AUUGAUUGAGAGAGAUAAAAGUAUUAUGACGUAGUCGAUGUUCUCUUUCUAUAUAUAUUAAAAAAAACAAAAAUUUAUGCGAUUUUUUAAUUAUAGCCAAUUUUUUUAAAAAAUUUUGACAUAAUUUUAAAAAGUUAAUGCUAAUGUGGUAGCUGACAUGGCAAAAAUAUAUAUUUUUUUCUAUUGUUGCUGACGAUGUUGCUGACGAUGUUGCUGAUGUGACAGUUGAUGUGGUAUAAAUUUUGAUUUUUUUAUUAUAUUAUUACUGAUGUGAUAAA
rnacentral:misc_RNA from 1 species